CUAAAUGGGCGAAAGCCUGAAGCAGCAACGCCGCGUGGAACGAAGAAGCCUUCGGGGCGUAAAGUUCUUUUACGUGGGAAGAGGAAGACAGUACCACGGGAAUAAGUCUCGGCUAACUACGUGCCAGCAGCCGCGGUAAAACGUAGAGGCGAGCGUUAUCCGGAUUUACUGGGCGUAAAGAGCGUGUAGGAGGCAAAACAAGACGGAUGUGAAAGCCCCCGGCUUAACCGGGGGAGGUCGUACGUGACUGUAGAGCUAGAGUGAGUUAGAGGUAAGCGGAACUCCGGGAGUAGUGGUGAAAUGCGUAGAUAUCCGGAAGAACAUCAGAGGCGAAAGCGGCUUACUGGGACUUAACUGACACUGAGACGCGAAAGCCAGGGUAGCAAACGGGAUUAGAGACCCCGGUAGUCCUGGCUGUAAACGAUGUAGACUGGACGUUUUCGGGGUAAAAGCUGAGAGUGUCGAAGCGAACGCGAUAAGUCUACCGCCUGGGGAGUACGGUCGCAGGAUUAAACUCAAGGAAUUGACGGGGCCCGCACAGCAGCGGAGCGUGUGUUUA
rnacentral:rRNA from 1 species